CGCGGGGUGUACUUACUUUAUCUGGUCUCCGGCGCUGGGUGGGCGCUGCAGCUCUCCGUUCCACCCGAGCUGCAGCCGGUUCGCCUCGCUGUCACCGGGUAUGGCUUGUCUCUGUUCCAUUGUAUCUGGAGCCUCAACUGGGAAGACUGGAAUGCAGGAACACAGACCCCUAAUAUCAUGUAGGGGAUUCUUCAGUCACGUGUCUGGUACCUGGACAGGAAUGACUCAAAGGAGAAGGAGACUGAACAUAUUGCUAAAGGAAAAUAAGGAGCUAAGGAAAUUUUCAAGAUUUCUACUUGCAUUACUGCAUGGAUAGUGAUGCUGUUUGUCAAAAUCAGCUUACUCUUCUAUCUUCUGCCAAGUGAGGAUGCAGCAAGAAGGCCC